ACGUCCAUACCACGUUGAACACACCGGUUCUCGUCCGAUCACCGAAGUUAAGCAACGUCGGGCGCGGUCAGUACUUGGAUGGGU
rnacentral:rRNA from 1 species